GAUUUUUAACAGUGGAUCCAUUAGUUUGUGUGCCAAUGAAGAAAACAACUAGAUUUGAAAGUUAAUGUAAAUUGCAGGACAUGCUUAUAAUCAUCUCAAAUGUGUCUUGUGGUCUCAGGUUCUUCCUGGAACUAUGCGUGUCCAAGGGCAA